AACGCACAUUGCGCCCCGUGGUAUUCCGCGGGGCAUGCCUGUUCGAGCGUCAGUACAACACUCAAGCUCUGCUUGGUCUUGAGCCCCGCCGGCAACGGCAGGCUUUAAAAUCAGUGGCGGCGCCACCUGGCUCUAAGCGUAGUAAUACACCCCGCUACAGAGUCCCGGUGGAUGCUUGCCAGCAACCCCCAACUUCUAAGUUUGACCUCGGAUCAGGUAGGGAUACCCGCUGAACUUAA
rnacentral:misc_RNA from 2 species